UCCUCCUCCUUGAACCCGAUGCCCGACCCGAGAGGGUGAUUCGUGUCGUACUCGAAAAUACAGCCCGUAGCAUAAUUAAUCAAAAUCAAACCCUUUUCUCUGCACACGUCAGCCAACGUGAGCGUCCCGACCACAUUGGUCCGAAUGGUUUCGACCUUGUGAGACUCGCACCAGUCGACGUUAGGCCGGCCAGUGACACCGGCAGCGUUGAAUACAUGACUAGGCUUGACGUUGACGAUGUCAGCUUCGAGGGAGACUCUGUUUUCCAGGCGACCGGAGCCGUAGGUGUAGUCGAUGCCCUGAGACUCGCAGAGCUUCCCCAAGAGACCACCUAUCCAUCCGGUGCGGCCGUAGAUGAGGAA
rnacentral:misc_RNA from 1 species